GCAAACUACAGAAUGUAUUCCCGCUAAGACUCAACAAGUUUGAACGUAUUAAGGAAAUAACGAAAAUUCAAAGAAUACAAAAUAAAUAAAAUUACGAAAAAUAAGAUUUAAAAAAGUAAAACAUUUGAAAUAACUAAAAUAAUAUAAACAUAAACGAUAACUAAAUCGUUAUUUAGUAACCGUUUUUUUAUCAUUUUCCGUGUGUUAUGUUAAUAAAAAUGAAAUUUCUCAUAAAGAUUUUGAUAAUUGUGAUAUUGGUGACUGCAUCUAUAGCUUAUGAGCAGGACGACGUAAAAAAUGUCAGAAUAGAGAGCAUUCUUGAAGGUGUUCAGGACAGAAAUACUUGUCUGCAAGGUUUCCGGAAAGAUCAGCAUGGAAAAUGUCGCAAAAUUCUUUAAUUUACAUGUAAGGUCAGCUGCGAUGCCAUUAAAGUUGUGAGCAAAGACGAGCAAAGAUAGGAACAUAAGAGAGAAGCAGCCAUCUUACAGAAAAGCAUCUGUACAGUGGAAUUAAAUAAAAUUCUUUUUAUGAUGUA